rnacentral:rRNA from 1 species
GACGAACGCUGGCGGCGUGCUUAACACAUGCAAGUCGAACGGUGAAGGGACCGGUUUUUGCUGGUUCUGGAUGAGUGGCGAACGGGUGAGUAACACGUGAGUAACCUGCCCCCUUCUUCUGGAUAACCGCAUGAAAGUGUGGCUAAUACGGGAUAUUCUGCGCCUGCUGCAUGGUGGGUGUGGGAAAGAUAUUGUUUCGGUGGGGGAUGGGCUCGCGGCCUAUCAGCUUGUUGGUGGGGUGAUGACCUACCAAGGCGUUGACGGGUAGCCGGCCUGAGAGGGUGGACGGUCACACUGGGACUGAGACACGGCCCAGACUCCUACGGGAGGCAGCAGUGGGGAAUAUUGCACAAUGGGCGCAAGCCUGAUGCAGCGACGCCGCGUGAGGGAUGGAGGCCUUCGGGUUGUAAACCUCUUUCGCCAGUGAAGCAGGCCUGUCCCUUUUGUGGGUGGGUUGACGGUAGCUGGAUAAGAAGCGCCGGCUAACUACGUG